GNCNANAUGACGGCGUGCAUAUACAUGCAAGUCGAGCGGACAGAAGGGAGCUUGCUCCCGGAUGUUAGCGGCGGACGGGUGAGUAACACGUGGGUAACCUGCCUGUAAGACUGGGAUAACUCCGGGAAACCGGAGCUAAUACCGGAUAGUUCCUUGAACCGCAUGGUUCAAGGAUGAAAGACGGAGUUUUCNGGGCGUGUCACCUUANCAGAUGGANCCCNNGCGGCGCAUUAGCUAGUUGGUGAGGUAACGGCUCACCAAGGCGACGAUGCGUAGCCGACCUGAGAGGGUGAUCGGCCACACUGGGACUGAGACACGGCCCAGACUCCUACCGGGAGGCAGCAGUAGGGAAUCUUCCGCAAUGGACGAAAGUCUGACGGAGCAACGCCGCGUGAGUGAUGAAGGUUUUCGGAUCGUAAAGCUCUGUUGUUAGGGAAGAACAAGUGCAAGAGUAACUGCUUGCACCUUGACGGUACCUAACCAGAAAGCCACGGCUAACUACGUGCCAGCAGCCGCGGUAAUACGUAGGUGGCAAGCGUUGUCCGGAAUUAUUGGGCGUAAAGGGCUCGCAGGCGGUUUCUUAAGUCUGAUGUGAAAGCCCCCGGCUCAACCGGGGAGGGUCAUUGGAAACUGGGAAACUUGAGUGCAGAAGAGGAGAGUGGAAUUCCACGUGUAGCGGUGAAAUGCGUAGAGAUGUGGAGGAACACCAGUGGCGAAGGCGACUCUCUGGUCUGUAACUGACGCUGAGGAGCGAAAGCGUGGGGAGCGAACAGGAUUAGAUACCCUGGUAGUCCACGCCGUAAACGAUGAGUGCUAAGUGUUAGGGGGUUUCCGCCCCUUAGUGCUGCAGCUAACGCAUUAAGCACUCCGCCUGGGGAGUACGGUCGCAAGACUGAAACUCAAAGGAAUUGACGGGGGCCCGCACAAGCGGUGGAGCAUGUGGUUUAAUUCGAAGCAACGCGAAGAACCUUACCAGGUCUUGACAUCCUCUGACAACCCUAGAGAUAGGGCUUUCCCUUCGGGGACAGAGUGACAGGUGGUGCAUGGUUGUCGUCAGCUCGUGUCGUGAGAUGUUGGGUUAAGUCCCGCAACGAGCGCAACCCUUGAUCUUAGUUGCCAGCAUUCAGUUGGGCACUCUAAGGUGACUGCCGGUGACAAACCGGAGGAAGGUGGGGAUGACGUCAAAUCAUCAUGCCCCUUAUGACCUGGGCUACACACGUGCUACAAUGGACAGAACAAAGGGCUGCGAGACCGCAAGGUUUAGCCAAUCCCACAAAUCUGUUCUCAGUUCGGAUCGCAGUCUGCAACUCGACUGCGUGAAGCUGGAAUCGCUAGUAAUCGCGGAUCAGCAUGCCGCGGUGAAUACGUUCCCGGGCCUUGUACACACCGCCCGUCACACCACGAGAGUUUGCAACACCCGAAGUCGGUGAGGUAACCUUUAUGGAGCCAGCCGCCGAAGGUGGGCAAAANG
rnacentral:rRNA from 1 species